ensembl:lncRNA
GGAAAGAAAGAAAGGAAAGAAAGGGUUUUCCAACCAGAUGGGUCCCCAGUGGGGCAUCUCUACUAGAGGUAUUUGUUUGCCCUUCGUUCUUGAAGAUCAGGAUAUCAGAAAGAUGACACCAUGACAUGCAAGUGAACUAGAUUUAAGGGAGAAAGUCUGUGCAAGGCUGCCUGCCUCACUUUUCGCUCCUGAGCCAUCUGGGUCCAGUGGCCAGAUAGAGAUGGCCCUGGAUGCUAAAGUCUUCACCAGGUCUCAUUUUGACUUGGGCCACACCCAGCUUCUAUUGGUGAUUCAAUGGGAGUCCUAUUAACCAGGAUCUCAUUGAAAUCCCCCCUACAUAGAUAGGAAUUGGGGGAAAGAGGUGGGGAAAGCUAGGGAAGGAAGGAAGCAUGUAUUAAGCAUCUACUAUCUACCAGGCUCCCAGUUAAGAGCUCAUUUUACAAAUAUUACUCAGAGGAAGGAGGAUGGGAAAUCCCCCAAAUCAGGGAUUUUCCUCUCCUGGCAUCCACCCGGGUUCCAGGCUAUGCCUGAAAGGCCAGAACUCAAGCCAGAGGAGAUUCCCAUCCAUUCCCAGGAGGGGAAUCUACAUCGUUUGAGAAGCUGCUGCCCUGACUGACUUCCUGGCCAGUUUGGCCUGAGGGGAUGGAUUUGGGGCCAAGAUAAUUAAAAAUUUGCCUGGGCAGUCUCUCAGACUUUUUAACCAUCACAAAACAAAGAAGGUGCAGGUGAGAGAAUGACUUGUUUCUAGAUUUGUAACUAAGAGUCGGGAUGAGAUGAGAACAAAAUGAUGGAAGUGGGGUCAUUAUCUGUUUAUCUGGAAGUCUAACCCACACACCCAUACAAAAAAGUCCUCUCAAAACAGUUCGGCCAUCUAUCCUGACCAAAUGGAUCCAAUUAGACACCCAAACUCCGUGGGAGGACUUUACACUUUUUAAGGGGAAAAAAGCCAUCAAGAGAACACCAAGAAUCACGAUCUUCAGCCCCAAAAGCCUGAAACAAAAGUCGUCAGUCUCAUGAUGUCACUGGUCCUCCAACAACAGCCAACCAGACACCACAUCUUGAGAGUUCCACAACAUCACUCACAUCCCUCAAUUUUCUCCUUAAUUCCAUGGAUACGUCCUUGUUCGGAGCUUAAAGCUGUGGGGGAAAUGAUAAUAUAUGACACUGAUAUAAUGCUUCUAGGUUGGUAAGGGGCAGCCUGAUGGCCAAGAUAGCUGGACUCAAAGCCAGAAAGAGCCAGUUUGAAUCUGCCUUCUGAUGCAUUCUAGGACCUCAGAGUUCCCGACCACAGCCCACCGGUGCCUAGGGCCCUCAACACCGCAGUGGGAAAGAACCAGAUUAAAAUGCAGUUGGGAAAUAUUUAAUGAAAUAAAGAAAAAUGCAACAAAGCACAGAUAAUAUCUCAUUUUUGACGAAGUCAGUAAGCUCCUGCACAGGAUUCCUUAGGUACAGACUAACGGCUUGUUAGUCAGGACUUAAUAAAUGUUUGUUGACUGUAUAAGACCUCGGGCUACCUCCAAUGAUGAUUUAUGAAUUACUAUACACACAAAACUCAAGCAUGAUCUAGCGUACUGGGUCUCAAGGUUCUCAAACAUUAGGACACGCCAUAUGUAAACAACUGUACAGAAUAAGCUAUAGACAGAAUAAAGUGGAAAUGAUCGGCAGAGGGAAGGUACUGGCUUUGAGAGUCAUGGGAGAAGGUGUUUUGUAGGAGGGACUGGAAGGAG